AUCAGAUCCUGUCAGCCUGGUCUGAGGUCACUACCCUAGGGGUUUGAGGAGAGAACCCUUGGAAUAGUUAGACAAACAGUUGCUGGAUUUAGUCAUUUUCAUUUGCUUUCUGAACAUAAAUUCAGCUAGGCAUGGGGAAUGGAAGAGGCGACAAGCCCCGGAGGUGAAUCCUGGAGCAGCGGCCGGCGCGGGGUGGAGCGGUCCCGGAGCAGCGGCCGGCGCCGGGGGGAAGCAGUCCCGGAGCAGCGGCUGGCAUGACGAGCCAGUCCCAGGCGGAGGCUGGCGUAGGGGAAGGAGUCCUGGAACUUACCUUGGAGCAGCUGAGAGCAGAUAUGGAGUGGAGCUUGGAGCAGACCACGGAUGGGUGUUGGUCUGGGGUGUGACGCGGGUGGUCAAACAAUGUGUGGGAGCCCCUGCGCUGAGUUGCUGUAAUGUAAAGUUUAUUUGAAUUUUAAUUUUAUCUGAUUGUAAUGUCAGUUCUUUAAGUGUGUCUUAUUUCUAACUUAUUCUUUAAACACAAUUAAGUAAUGUAUCUACUUUUUAUUCUUCUUUCAUGUCUAAAGAUUUGUACCUAGGUACUUAUACUUAAGACAGAAUCAUAAUAUGCAACAUCGUAAUACUUAUCACUGCACUCCUGUAGUUCUGUACUUGAGUACACGUGACAAUACAGAGUUUUCUAUUCUAA